rnacentral:rRNA from 1 species
AUACGGAGGGUGCAAGCGUUACUCGGAAUCACUGGGCGUAAAGCGCGCGCAGGCGGGCUGAUAAGUUGGAUGUGAAAGCCUACGGCUCAACCGUAGAACUGCAUCCAAAACUGUCAGUCUAGAGUCUGGGAGGGGAAGAUGGAAUUAGUUGUGUAGGGGUAAAAUCCGUAGAGAUAACUAGGAAUACCAAAAGCGAAGGCAAUCUUCUGGAACACUACUGACGCUGAGGCGCGAAAGCGUGGGGAGCAAACAGGAUUAGAAACCCGAGUAGUCC